GACGAACGCUGGCGGCGUGCUUAACACAUGCAAGUCGAACGGAAAGGCCCUGCUUUUGUGGGGUGCUCGAGUGGCGAACGGGUGAGUAACACGUGAGUAACCUGCCCUUGACUUUGGGAUAACUUCAGGAAACUGGGGCUAAUACCGGAUAGGAGCUCCUGCUGCAUGGUGGGGGUUGGAAAGUUUCGGCGGUUGGGGAUGGACUCGCGGCUUAUCAGCCUGUUGGUGGGGUAGUGGCUUACGAAGGCUUUGACGGGUAGCCGGCCUGAGAGGGUGACCGGCCACAUUGGGACUGAGAUACGGCCCAGACUCCUACGGGAGGCAGCAGUGGGGAAUAUUGCACAAUGGGCGGAAGCCUGAUGCAGCAACGCCGCGUGCGGGAUGACGGCCUUCGGGUUGUAAACCGCUUUCGCCUGUGACGAAGCGUGAGUGACGGUAAUGGGUAAAGAAGCACCGGCUAACUACGUG
rnacentral:rRNA from 1 species